UGCCGGCGACCGGCGCACGGGUGAGUAACACGUAUGCGACCUGCCCCCCGCAGGGGGAUAACCGGGAGAAAUCCCGACUAAUACCGCGUAACGCCGCGGACCUGCAUGGGUCUGCGGCCAAAGGAAGCGAUUCCGGCGGGGGAUGGGCAUGCGGCGCAUUAGCUAGACGGCGGGGUAACGGCCCACCGUGGCGACGAUGCGUAGGGGUUCUGAGAGGAAGGUCCCCCACACUGGUACUGAGACACGGACCAGACUCCUACGGGAGGCAGCAG
rnacentral:rRNA from 1 species